GUGCUGGGCCGGCUUCCGGCAGGCUGGGCGUAGCUGAGCUAGGGGGGAGGUCAGCCCGGGCCCGGGUGGGGAUCACACUUCAGUCAGGAGGAACCACAGGGCCGCGUGGCGCCCGCCUGCCUGGGCCUGGAGGCGGCUAGGAAGGCAGCUGCAGGCAGAGAACCCAGGGUCCCGGCCAGGACCCAGGACCCACAGAGCCCCCUCGCCCUGGAGCAGUUCUGGAGUUUGAGCGGGGAGAGGGAGCCAGAGCCAGGAGGAGCCGGGCCAGCUGGAUUGCAGGCAGGACCAGAUGUUUUCUGAGGACCCUCCCAGAGUGACAGGCCGGAGUGGAAGCGCAUCUUGUGCUGUGGGGACAGACACGCUGACACAGACUGAGGAGAAAGACUUUAAUUUGGGCCUUUUGUGCCCAUGGCUCCAGUUCAGACAAGGGGAUGGGAUCUACUUCACUGUGGCUCUUCUUCGUCCUUGCAAGGCCUCCCCUGGACCCCGGCGCUCAGAGUGGGGGCGGUGACACCAACAGUGGAGGUCGCAGGUGGUCCCGGGAGACAGUCAGGAGUCUGGGGUGAGGAGGCUUCAAAACCUGUUAAGGCUUUGCAGGUAUUUAACUGCAUUCUUCACUCUCUUGUUGUUGGGGUCAGAACAGAUGGCCCUGUCCUGGACAGUUACAAAACUACACAGAAAGAGGACGUUACCAGGAGUGGCAGAGGGGGAAGGGCCCCUAGAGUCCCUGGGACGGCCCGCACUGUGCUGACCAGGAUUCCAAGGCUCCAAGAGGUGCAGGAAGUUGCUGCAGUCACACAGGGCAUUGGUGGCAGAUCUGGGACUUCAGGCUCUGUCCCGAGUAAUCUCGACCCUCCCAGGGAGCCAGGGCUGCAGGACCUUGUGCCCACCCCUCAGCCUGCCCAUGUCCCCAGACAGCCUAGAGCCUGGGACGUGGAGACUGCGGGCAGGGCUCAGGCCUAGGCCAGGGGAGGUGACCAGGGGAGGUGACAUUGCCCCUGACCAGCUGUGUGACCUGGGGGUGUUCAUCGCUCCUGGGGCCUUGAUUUCACCACAAAUCAAGGAAUAGGUUGGACCUCAUGGCCUGCGGCCCUUUUGGGUCCCACAGCGUGGGGAACAUGAACUGCCCCAAGGAGCCUGCAGGGGUCGGGGAGGAAGGCCCUGCUGUCUCUUCCCUGCUCCCCAGUGGCCGUCCUGGGAGCUCCAGGGUGCACUUGUCCCCAUGCUUGGCCCUGAGUAGCAGGGGUGGAGCCAGGGGGACUUACACGAUGGCAUCCCUGGAGCAGUCCUCAGAUGUCUGGUACCAUGUCUUCAGCUUUCUAAGGGGAAUGGCUCCCUUGAAGUACUCCAGGCAGCACUCCCGGCCCACAUUGGUCCCUCGAGCUGCAGGGAGAGGAGCGGGGCAGGGGUGUCUGUGAGUGUCUGCAUAUGUGUUGCGGGGACCUCUGGGGGGUGUUCGUGGAAGAUCUGCAUGUGUGGGUCCAUGUGUGCAUGUGUGUGGUGACUGCAUGUGUAUCACUAUGUGUAUAUGUGUGUGUCUGUGUGUUACCGUACACAGGUGUGUGUGAGGCUGCUGUGUAUGUUGUGGGGUGCCGUGUGUUUGUGGGUAUGCAUGUUUGUGUGUGUCUGUGGGGGAUCCUGUGUGUCCUGUGAGUGCCUACGUGUGUGUCUCUGUGCGUCUGUGUGCGUCCCUAUAUGUCUAUACCUGGCAACCUUAUUUCAUCUUUCCUUUCCCAACCUAAUACAAGAAUCUCUUUUUCAGUCUGGGCGCCGUGGCUCAUGCCUGUAAUCCCAGCACUUUGGGAGGCCGAGGUGGGUGGAUGGCCUGAGGUCAGGAGUUCGAAACCAGCCUGACCAACAUGGUGAAAACCCAUUGGUGGCGUGGUGGCCGGGCACUUAUAUUCCCAUCUAUUUGGGAGGCUGAGGCAGGAGAAUCACUUGAACCGAGGAGGCAGAGGUUGCAGUGAGCCGAGAUUGCACCAUUGCACUCCAGCCUGGGCGACAGAGCGAGACUCCGUCUCAAAAAAAAAAAAAAAGAAUCCUUUUUUACAUGCUCUUGGAAACAAUUCUCAUAUCUUUAUGCUGAUUCCCUCAUUGUGCAUAAAACCUGUUAAUAAAACAGAAGCUAAUAAACAAUUUUGAGAAUU